rnacentral:tRNA from 2 species
GCUAGCGUAGCUUAAAUAAAGCAUAACACUGAAGAUGUUAAGAUGAACCCU